AAGUCUCUGCUAAUGUGUAUCUAGUUUAUACUAAGUGACCCAUAGGUUGAGGAGGCGGUGACUGUGGCAGUGGAGGAGGAAGCAGCGGUGGAGGAGGAGGUGGAGGUAGCCAACACUGUAUUUUAUGUUUUUUUGUUUUUUUUAUUUUUUUUAUUGUGGGAAUCAGGGUUCCAUUCCAUACAGGGACCCUGAGAAAUGGCUACCACAUGCAAGGAAGGCAGCAGGCGCGCAAAUGACCCGCUCCUGACGCGGGAAGGUAGUGA